rnacentral:rRNA from 1 species
CCUACGGGGGGCUGCAGUGGGGAAUAUUGGACAAUGGGGGGAACCCUGAUCCAGCCAUGCCGCGUGUGUGAAGAAGGCCCUCGGGUUGUAAAGCACUUUCAGUGAGGAAGAACGCCUGGUGGUUAAUACCCAUCAGGAAAGACAUCACUCACAGAAGAAGCACCGGCUAACUCCGUGCCAACAGCCGCGGUAAUACGGAGGGUGCGAGCGUUAAUCGGAAUUACUGGGCGUAAAGCGCGCGUAGGUGGCUUGAUAAGCCGGUUGUGAAAGCCCCGGGCUCAACCUGGGAACGGCAUCCGGAACUGUCAAGCUAGAGUGCAGGAGAGGAAGGUAGAAUUCCCGGUGUAGCGGUGAAAUGCGUAGAGAUCGGGAGGAAUACCAGUGGCGAAGGCGGCCUUCUGGACUGACACUGACACUGAGGUGCGAAAGCGUGGGUAGCAAACAGGAUUAGAUACCCCUGUAGUC